AGUUGCCAUGGUGGUGGACGUACCGCACCUGGAAGGGGAUUAGCGGAGAAUGAUGAAGUGUUGCGAGUGGGAAGUAAAAGACGAAGCUAGAUGGAGCGAAUAUAAAGUGUUUUCGAUGUAUUUUGUUCUGACACGCUUUUAAGAUGUUAGGUUUCCUGCGCUCUUAUUUUGGCGUUCUAGUCUGAGACGUCAUUUCCUUUUUGUCACGUUCUCUGCUGCUUAGUAUUGGCUCGUAGUUAGUUGAUCGUGUACACAGCACCUUGUGCGUUCUUGACUAAAAUACCAGACCUGGGCAAAAUACGGCCCGCGGGCCACAUGCGGCCCAUGAAGAUUUUCAAUCCAACUCGCCGGACGUUCUACAUCAUUUUUUUAGACAUUUAACAUCAAAACUGUAGCCGCCAUUAUGAUGUGCAGUGCUGUUUUUAAAUAACCCAGCACCUCCAACUCCAACUACUCGUCUCAUCACGACUGCUGCUAAUAAAGGCGACAGGUGAUUAGAUAACAAGGCCCACCUGGGCCAUCUACGCACCUGUCGCUGUCUCCGAGGCCGGUCCUGACACAACUUGUUCCGCGGCAGACCCGCAGGCCACGCCCCCCCUCCACAGUAGAAAUCUGCCCUUUUGAGUAUUACACGAGUUAUUACGGUAAUGUAUGUCACAGCAGCUCAGACGAGGAACAAAGCAGAGUGGGCGGGGUUUGUUUUCAGAGCAGCCAGCCCGAAACGCAUGUGUCAGGAACAGAGACAUUUUUACAACAAAUGUCUGCAUAAAAGUGAUUAAUAUAUCAUAAUGUAGGUGUUUAUUACCCUUUGCAUUCAUAUUUUGCCGUUUGUUACAUUUUUGUUGCGUUUUAAAACAUGUCUAUUGAGGAGCUGGUCUGAGAAGUAAAAGAGGAGCGAUGUUCAUAUGUUGUUAAUAGUCAGUGUUUUAUUGUUCAUAGUUAAUAUUGUAAAUCCCACUGUCUUAAUUUUGAUGUACA